UACAGAGGGUGCAAGCGUUAAUCGGAAUUACUGGGCGUAAAGCGCGCGUAGGUGGUUCGUUAAGUUGGAUGUGAAAUCCCCGGGCUCAACCUGGGAACUGCAUUCAAAACUGUCGAGCUAGAGUAUGGUAGAGGGUGGUGGAAUUUCCUGUGUAGCGGUGAAAUGCGUAGAUAUAGGAAGGAACACCAGUGGCGAAGGCGACCACCUGGACUGAUACUGACACUGAGGUGACGAAAGCGUGGGGAGCAAACAGG
rnacentral:rRNA from 1 species